rnacentral:lncRNA from 1 species
CCCAGCAGGUCCCACUCCUCUCACCAGCUCCAGGCAGUUUUAUUAUAGAGUAACUCUUCUGAGACACCGCUCCUUUCCCCAGCACCUAAGGAAGUAUUUCUAGUAAGUUCCAGUGGUAUAGCAUCGGUGACUCUCCUGACAAGCAGAGGGCCAUGGCUGGGUUCCUCUGAUGAGGUGCAGGGGCAGGGCACUAAGAGGGGAGGACUCUCCUGAGUUCUCUACCUGAGCCCUAGACUAGUAGCUGCUCCUCCUAUACUUCCUACUAGUCUGUGCCUGGUUACUCCACUUCCCUGUUGCAAUUAACAAUUCCCUAGGUACACUUUUCCUGUUCAAAUGACUGUGUGGCUUCUCUUUCCUAAUCGGACUCUGACCAAUACGCUAUCAUUUGCCAACAACUCCCAAAGUUUUAUCAGUGACUCAGACCUCUAACCUGAACUCCAGCUGCCUCCAUGACAUAUCCAUUUGGAUGUUUAAUGGACAUUUCCAAAGUGAUAUGCCCUACAGAACUCAGAAUCUUCCCUCUCAAACCAACUGCUCAGCAGUCUUAUGAUCUUAGUUGAUGGCAAUUCAGAAGUGAAUUGCAGGACACCCGGUUUGUAUCUGCAGAGAGAACUGGAGAACUGCUUAGUGUGGAAAACCCACACAUUUGGUUUCAGAAGUAUGUGCCGUUUGGGGGUGCUAAAGCUGGUGUUAAGAUCUAUCCCAAGAACUAUACCGAUAACGAACUGGAAAAGAUCACAAGGAGGUUCACCAUGGAGCUAGCAAAGAAGGGCUUUAUUGUCUUUGUAUCCAGACAAUUCUAGCCUCAUGGAAUGAGUUGAGGAGUGUUCCUUCCUCUUCUGUUUUUGGAAAAGCUUUUGAAAGUCCACAGAUGUGGGGAUCUCAAGAAGCAGGCGUUCCUGGAACUGUUUCCCGUUCCUGUGCUUCUGGUA